UUUGUAAUAAUUGUGUACCUUAUUGUAUUGAUAGUAUUGUAUCCUCUUCUCUCUCUCCUAUAGUUGAGUUAUGCUGAUAUGUUGAAGAGAGUUGAUCCGUUACAUAAGGAAUUGAAAGAUUUGGAAACCAAAGCUGAGGACACUCGUCAAAAAGGAGAAGAAAUAACAAAAAUAAUAGCAGAACUUGAAGCCUCUAUAGCAAAAUAUAAAGAAGAAUAUGCAAUGGUUGUAUCUGAUGCUAGUGUUAUUAAGAAUCAUUUAUCAACUGUUGAGAAAAAGGUGAGUUCCUCCUUCGUUUGUGUCACCUUGAGAAGAGUCUCCUCACUGCAUUGAACAAGGUCAAGGGUCAUAUCCUAGACAACA